UACGUAGGUGGCAAGCGUUAUCCGGAAUUAUUGGGCGUAAAGCGCGCGCAGGCGGUUUCUUAAGUCUGAUGUGAAAGCCCACGGCUCAACCGUGGAGGGUCAUUGGAAACUGGGGAAUUUGAGUGCAGAAGAGAAAAGCGGAAUUCCACGUGUAGCGGUGAAAUGCGUAGAGAUGUGGAGGAACACCAGUGGCGAAAGCGGCUUUUUGGUCUGUAACUGACGCUGAGGCGCGAAAGCGUGGGGAGCAAACAGG
rnacentral:rRNA from 1 species